UACGUAGGGUGCAAGCGUUGUCCGGAAUUAUUGGGCGUAAAGAGCUCGUAGGCGGUUUGUUGCGUCGGCUGUGAAAUCCCGAGGCUCAACCUCGGGUCUGCAGUCGAUACGAGCAAACUAGAGUGUUGCAGGGGAGACUGGAAUUCCUGGUGUAGCGGUGAAAUGCGUAGAUAUCAGGAAGAACAUCGGUGGCGAAGGCGCUCUGCUGGACCAUAACUGACACUCAGGGACGAAAGCUAGGGGAGCGAAAGGG
rnacentral:rRNA from 1 species